UGGGGAAUAUUGGACAAUGGGGGAAACCCUGAUCCAGCGACGCCGCGUGGGUGAAGAAGGCCUGCGGGUUGUAAAGCCCUUUCGGUAGGGAAGAAAUCUCUUGUUCUAACAAAACAAGGGUUUGACUUAACCUACAUAAGAAGCACCGGCUAACUCUGUGCCAGCAGCCGCGGUAAUACAGAGGGUGCGAGCGUUAAUCGGAAUUACUGGGCGUAAAGCGCACGUAGUCGGCUUGCCAAGUCGGGUGUGAAAUCCCCGGGCUCAACCUGGGAACUGCAUCCGAAACUGGCUUGCUAGAGUAUGGGAGAGGGAGGCGGAAUUUCUGGUGUAGCAGUGAAAUGCGUAGAUAUCAGAAGGAACAUCAGUGGCGAAGGCGGCCUCCUGGACCAAUACUGACGAUCAGGUGCGAAAGCGUGGGGAGCAAACAGG
rnacentral:rRNA from 1 species